rnacentral:miRNA from 1 species
UGGUGAUGAUGAUGAUGAUGAUGGUGGUGGUCAUGAUGGUGAAGGAGAGGCCAUCACCACCACCACCACCAUCGCUACCUAGA